UCAAAACAGCGGACUUCGGCCCUUGCUGCACCCUUGUCUUUUGCGCACCGUAUUGUUUCCUCGGCGGGCUUGCCUGCCGGUUGGACAUUAUCAAAACCUUUUUGUAGUUGCAAUCAGCGUCAGAAAAACAAUAAUUAUUA
rnacentral:misc_RNA from 1 species